rnacentral:rRNA from 1 species
CCUACGGGAGGCAGCAGUGGGGAAUAUUGCACAAUGGGCGCAAGCCUGAUGCAGCGACGCCGCGUGAGGGAUGACGGCCUUCGGGUUGUAAACCUCUUUUCAGUAGGGAAGAAGCGAAAGUGACGGUACCUGCAGAAGAAGCGCCGGCUAACUACGUGCCAGCAGCCGCGGUAAUACGUAGGGCGCAAGCGUUAUCCGGAAUUAUUGGGCGUAAAGAGCUCGUAGGCGGUUUGUCGCGUCUGCCGUGAAAGUCCGGGGCUCAACUCCGGAUCUGCGGUGGGUACGGGCAGACUAGAGUGAUGUAGGGGAGACUGGAAUUCCUGGUGUAGCGGUGAAAUGCGCAGAUAUCAGGAGGAACACCGAUGGCGAAGGCAGGUCUCUGGGCAUUAACUGACGCUGAGGAGCGAAAGCAUGGGGAGCGAACAGGAUUAGAUACCCUGUAGUCCAUGCCGUAAACGUUGGGCACUAGGUGUGGGGGACAUUCCACGUUUUCCGCGCCGUAGCUAACGCAUUAAGUGCCCCGUCUGGGGAGACGCGCAAGACAAACUAAAUAGAGUAGAGNGNGAGAGNGCGAGACGACGACGAGGAGAG